rnacentral:rRNA from 1 species
UAGACCUCAAAUCAGGUAGGACUACCCGCUGAACUUAAGC